rnacentral:lncRNA from 1 species
CAGAAACCCAUACUGCCUCUAUCCUCUGCUUUCCACCAAAGAUGAGAGCAUGCAAUUAAGAAGCCAGGAGGAAAGAAAAACAGUAUUCGAGAAGUUUGCUCCAGCACCAAAGAUCCUGGGUCAGCAACCAGAGGACCGCAAGAAGGUUAAUCGAACCCAUGUCAGAAGAGCUAGGCACAGUGGCAGAUGCCUGUAAUGUCAGAGCUGAGGGCAUGAUGAGGACAUGUGGGUCUCUGGUGCUCCCUGGCCAGCCAGCCUGGUCUACUUGGUGAGUUCUAGACAAAGACAGCACCAUGACUCAACAACAAAAAAGGCCAGUGCCCAGAGGGCUUCCACAUUCAGGCAUAUACAUGCUUCCACACCCACACCUGUCCACAUUCACAGAACCCCAGAGAUCCACAGGGAAGCCUCCGUUUCUUGUGAACUCAAGGGGACAUUUUCU